UGGUAGAGCUGGUAGAGCAGUUGACUUUUAAUCAAUUGGUCGCAGGUUCGAAUCCUGCACGACCCACCAAUUUCAGCAUUUAACUCAGAUGCUGAACGUGAAGGAUAACGUUGCGUCAGCAACGGCCCGAAGGGCGAGGCAAAGCCGAGUCAUCCUGCACGACCUACCA
rnacentral:sRNA from 1 species